UGAGGAAUAUUGCACAAUGCCCGAAAGGGUGAUGCAGCGACGCCGCGUGGUGGAUGAAGGCCCUAUGGGUCGUAAACUCCUUUUGUGAGGGAAUAACAUCCUGCUACAUGCAGGACUGAAUGUACCUCAGGAAAAAGCAUCGGCUAACUACGUGCCAGCAGCCGCGGUAAUACGUAGGAUGCUAGCGUUGUCCGGAUUUACUGGGUGUAAAGGGAGCGCAGGCGGGUUGGUAAGUCGGUGGUGAAAUUUUCGGGCUUAACCCGAACACUGCCAUCGAUACUGCUAAUCUUGAGUAUAGAAGAGGUUGAUGGAAUUCUAGGUGUAGCGGUGAAAUGCGUAGAUAUCUAGAAGAACACCGAUGGCGAAGGCAGUCAACUGGUCUAUUACUGACGCUCAUGCUCGAAAGCGUGGGGAUCAAACAGG
rnacentral:rRNA from 1 species